ACGGGUGAGUAACACGUGGGCAACCUGCCUGUAAGACUGGGAUAACUUCGGGAAACCGAAGCUAAUACCGGAUAGGAUCUUCUCCUUCAUGGGAGAUGAUUGAAAGAUGGUUUCGGCUAUCACUUACAGAUGGGCCCGCGGUGCAUUAGCUAGUUGGUGAGGUAACGGCUCACCAAGGCAACGAUGCAUAGCCGACCUGAGAGGGUGAUCGGCCACACUGGGACUGAGACACGGCCCAGACUCCUACGGGAGGCAGCAGUAGGGAAUCUUCCGCAAUGGACGAAAGUCUGACGGAGCAACGCCGCGUGAGUGAUGAAGGCUUUCGGGUCGUAAAACUCUGUUGUUAGGGAAGAACAAGUACAAGAGUAACUGCUUGUACCUUGACGGUACCUAACCAGAAAGCCACGGCUAACUACGUGCCAGCAGCCGCGGUAAUAC
rnacentral:rRNA from 2 species